GGCGUCCCUCCAUGUGCCCCACGAUUGCGACUCGGUGACCCCCGGUUGGUGGCAGUGAGUCGAUUACUGAUCUUUCUGAGGUCAUCAUUUUCAAGGACAUAGACUUCGCCGUUUAUCACUAGCUUCUCAUAGGAGAGAUGUUGGCCGACACACUGUUUGGGUGUGGUUUUUGCGCUCUGGCUGCUGCUGAUAUCGCAUGUGAAGACUGACGGCAAACUGGACAUUCGGUUCAUCAGUUACUGGUCAGAUGGGAAAGAAAUAAGCGGGGAUUGUUGUGACAAUCAUCUCACCACUUGGUGCAAUAAUAAAUGUGACCCAAGGUUUAC